AAACUUACCAAAGUCGUAUUUCCACAUUUCUUUACCCUACAAGAAACUUUCCUAGGAUCCGUGUAUUGCGGAAUGGCGUCAAUAUUUCUAAAACGUUCACGUAAAUUGAUUGCGUCAUGUGUUAAAACAGUUAUUGGCCAAUCAAAUCGGUAUAUGUAAUUUAAUCUGCACAGCACGAGAUGACCCAAUAACCCGAACUCCUACGUCGUUCGGGUUAUUG
rnacentral:lncRNA from 1 species